UGGGGAAUUUUCCGCAAUGGGCGCAAGCCUGACGGAGCGACGCCGCGUGAGGGAUGAAGGCCUUCGGGUCGUAAACCUCUUUUGCAAGGGAAAAACGCGUACGUGCUAACACCACGGACGUUUGAUGGUACUUUGCGAAUAAGCCCCGGCUAACUACGUGCCAGCAGCCGCGGUAAAACGUAGGGGGCGAGCGUUGUCCGGAAUUACUGGGCGUAAAGCGCGUGUAGGUGGUUAAAUAAGUCCGAUGUGAAAUACCAGGGCUCAACCUUGGUGCUGCGUUGGAAACUGUUUGACUGGAGUGCGGUAGGGGAGACUGGAAUUCCUGGUGUAGCGGUGAAAUGCGUAGAUAUCAGGAAGAACACCUGUGGCGAAGGCGGGUCUCUGGGCCGCAACUGACACUGAGACGCGAAAGCGUGGGGAGCAAACAGG
rnacentral:rRNA from 1 species